AGGAAAGGAUCAACUAAAAGUGGACAUGGAAAUAUGUAUCGAACUUUUAUUCUACAAUAAACAAGUCCAAAUCUAACACUUGAAAUUUAUAACAACACAAAUAAAUUUAAUGAGAAACUUAUGACAUAGAUAAAAUGGUGAAUGAAGUGCAUUAACUUAAUCAAUUUAGGACAUGUACAGUGUAACUAGAAUAAGGCUAGAUUAAUAACUUCAACUCAUACCUAGUACCUACAUAAGUAUAUAUUAACCUAAAUAGAUGAGUGGAGUAGAGAAACUUGAAAGAGUAGGCAUUCCAAACAACAAAAUCAACAGAUACUCACAAUAGGAUGGGCAAGUAGCUCUCGAAAGUUGUAGAUGUUUUUUUGAACAAGGUAGUUGUAGAUGUUAUCUCCCAGCAGGGCAUAAAUGCCAAAUCCUAACAGAUCACAAAAAAAAAGAACUGGAUUGAAAUGCAAAAAAUUUGAACGGACUUAUACAGUACAAUUUGAAAAGUUACCGAAUUUAGCCAUCUUCCAAAUUGUUAUGAAACUGCCACAUCUAGCCAAAACUGCCAACUGCAGAAAAACUUCAGUUCUGGAGCAGUAAAAGAUAAACUCUUUAGUGUAGAGUUCUAACCUCAAAUUGAUAUAUCCCUUGCAUAAGAAAAUGAGAUUAUAAUGAAUGUUCCAAUACUAAACACAAAUGCUGAUCUUGAAACAUCUUUCCAC
rnacentral:lncRNA from 1 species